UGCGCGCGUGUGCCUGUGCAGCUUCGAGACGGUCUUUUCUUUCUACAGCGCAACACGCGCACGGCAGACAAAGGGUGGUGGACUGCGCCGGGCUCGCGAUGGUCUCAACUACACCAGCAGCAUCGCCUAGCAGUCACGCAAGACGGAUGGGAUGAGAAGGACCCGUAGUAUAGGAAUCGAAUCCGCGUAUGCGCCUGUGUUCGUGUUGGGUGUCUGUGCGGCUGUGUUUUGUAAGUCUGUUGCUGCAGGUGGCCGCGUGCGCGUGCCUGCCGACGGAGCGGCGCGCCACCACCGACACGCAAAGACCCGCAUGCCCAUGCACAUGCGCGCAUUGCGAGCACAACGGCGGCGUUGUAUGGUGUACGCUAGUAGAAAGAACAAGUCAAGUGACCAGAUGCCGGAGACUGGUGUGUGCAUCACAAGGGAUGGGGUGUUGUCCCGACGGAACUGUGCACUAGUCCUCUGCUUGCCGUGUGGGGGUGUGUACGCGUGAUGACGCCGUAAAGGUGUGACAGACGCUUCUACUCCCCGCCACCACCACCCUCCCAUCCAUCACCCGCUUCGUCUGUUUAAUGACAAGAGAAACUCCCACAUGCUUGUGUUUGUGGCGUGUCCGUCUGACCUUUUCCCCGUCUCCCUGCCCAGCUCACCGACUUACCCUCUCUCUGUUCGUCCAGUUGUCCCAGAUCCUUUCCUCGUGCGCCUCCCUCCCUCUCGGUGGCACAGCUCGGUCUCGCGCGGCGUGCAGAGACGCGCAUUCGUCUGUGGACGUGAGAGUGGAGAAGCGGCUGCGUGCGCGCGUGUGUGUGAUGAGGAAGAGGAGACACGUUUAAGAGGACUACGGCGAUGGCGCAGUGGUCAAGGUGAAGCCAAGAGCCGAAGGGGUGGGACGCAGGUAAGACGUGAGGUGCGAGGGCACGAGAGAAGUGGGCAUGACAUGCGCGCGUGCGGGUGUCUGUGGAAGACCAAUGCACAAAUAAGGAGAAC
rnacentral:misc_RNA from 1 species